rnacentral:rRNA from 1 species
CGAAUCAUUCACAAUGGGCGAAAGCCUGAUGGUGCGACGCCGCGUGAGGGAUGAAGGUCUUCGGAUUGUAAACCUCUGUCACCGGGGAAGAAACGCUUUGAGUUAAUAGUUCAAAGCCUGACUUACCCCGGCAAGGAAGCAGUGGCUAACUCUGUUCCCGCAGCCGCGGUAAUACAGAGACUGCAAGCGUUAUUCGGAUUCACUGGGCGUAAAGGGUGCGCAGGCGGCCAGAUGUGUCAGGUGUGAAAGCCCGGGGCUUAACCCCGGAAUUGCGCCUGAAACUGUCUGGCUAGAGUACUGGAGAGGGUAGCGGAAUUCACGGUGUAGCAGUGAAAUGCGUAGAUAUCGUGAGGAACACCAGAGGCGAAGGCGGCUACCUGGACAGUAACUGACGCUCAGGCACGAAAGCGUGGGGAGCA